rnacentral:rRNA from 1 species
ACUUAGUGGCAGACGGGUGAGUAACAUGUGGGUAUCUACCCUUUGGCCUGGAAUAACACGAGGAAACUCGUGCUAAUACCGGAUAAGUCUUUACGGAGAAAGCUUUAUGCACCAUUGGAUGAGCCCGCACUUGAUUAGUUUGUUGGUAGGGUAAUGGCCUACCAAGACUAUGAUCAAUAGCUGAUUUGAGAGGAUGAUCAGCCACAUUGGGACUGAGACACGGCCCAAACUCCUACGGGAGGCAGCAGUGGGGAAUCUUGCACAAUGGAGGAAACUCUGAUGCAGCGAUGCCGCGUGAGUGAAGAAGGCCUUUGGGUUGUAAAGCUCUUUCGUCGGGGAAGAAAAUGACUGUACCCGAAUAAGAAGGUCCGGCUAACUUCGUGCCAGCAGCCGCGGUAAUACGAAGGGACCUAGCGUAGUUCGGAAUUACUGGGCUUAAAGAGUUCGUAGGUGGUUGAAAAAGUUGGUGGUGAAAUCCCAGAGCUUAACUCUGGAACUGCCAUC